CCGAGUUUACAACUCCCAACCCCCUAUGAACAUACCUAUACGUUGCCUCGGCGGAUCAGCCCGCGCCCCGUAAAAAGGGACGGCCCGCCCGAGGACCCCUAAACUCUGUUUUUAGUGGAACUUCUGAGUAAAACAAACAAAUAAAUCA
rnacentral:misc_RNA from 1 species